GACGAACGCUGGCGGCGUGCUUAACACAUGCAAGUCGGACGGAAAGGCCCUGCUUUUGUGGGGUGCUCGAGUGGCGAACGGGUGAGUAACACGUGAGUAACCUGCCCUUGACUUUGGGAUAACUUCAGGAAACUGGGGCUAAUACCGGAUAGGAGCUCCUGCUGCAUGGUGGGGGUUGGAAAGUUUCGGCGGUUGGGGAUGGACUCGCGGCUUAUCAGCUUGUUGGUGGGGUAGUGGCUUACCACGGCUUUGACGGGUAGCCGGCCUGAGAGGGUGACCGGCCACAUUGGGACUGAGAUACGGCCCAGACUCCUACGGGAGGCAGCAGUGGGGAAUAUUGCACAAUGGGCGGAAGCCUGAUGCAGCAACGCCGCGUGCGGGAUGACGGCCUUCGGGUUGUAAACCGCUUUCGCCUGUGACGAAGCGUGAGUGACGGUAAUGGGUAAAGAAGCACCGGCUAACUACGUG
rnacentral:rRNA from 1 species